AGAUUAAGUUAUUAAGGGCGCACGGUGGAUGCCUUGGCACUAGAAGCCGAUGAAGGACGUUACUAACGACGAUAUGCUUUGGGUAGCUGUAAGUAAGCGUUGAUCCAGAGAUUUCCGAAUGGGGGAACCCAACAUGAGUUAUGUCAUGUUAUCGACAUGUGAAUUCAUAGCAUGCCAGAAGGCAGACCCGGAGAACUGAAACAUCUUAGUACCCGGAGGAAGAGAAAGAAAAAUCGAUUCCCUGAGUAGCGGCGAGCGAAACGGGAAUAGCCCAAACCAACAAGCUUGCUUGUUGGGGUUGUAGGACACUCUAUACGGAGUUACAAAAGAACAUGUUAGACGAAUCAUCUGGAAAGAUGAAUCAAAGAAGGUAAUAAUCCUGUAGUCGAAAACAUAUUCUCUCUUGAGUGGAUCCUGAGUACGACGGAGCACGUGAAAUUCCGUCGGAAUCUGGGAGGACCAUCUCCUAAGGCUAAAUACUCUCUAGUGACCGAUAGUGAACCAGUACCGUGAGGGAAAGGUGAAAAGUACCCCGGAAGGGGAGUGAAAGAGAACUUGAAACCGUGUGCUUACAAGUAGUCAGAGCCCGUUAAUGGGUGAUGGCGUGCCUUUUGUAGAAUGAACCGGCGAGUUACGAUCUGAUGCAAGGUUAAGCAGCAAAUGUGGAGCCGCAGCGAAAGCGAGUCUGAAUAGGGCGUUGAGUAUUUGGUCGUAGACCCGAAACCAGGUGAUCUACCCUUGGUCAGGUUGAAGUUCAGGUAACACUGAAUGGAGGACCGAACCGACUUACGUUGAAAAGUGAGCGGAUGAACUGAGGGUAGCGGAGAAAUUCCAAUCGAACUUGGAGAUAGCUGGUUCUCUCCGAAAUAGCUUUAGGGCUAGCCUCAAGUGAUGAUUAUUGGAGGUAGAGCACUGUUUGGACGAGGGGCCCCUCUCGGGUUACCGAAUUCAGACAAACUCCGAAUGCCAAUUAAUUUAACUUGGGAGUCAGAACAUGGGUGAUAAGGUCCGUGUUCGAAAGGGAAACAGCCCAGACCACCAGCUAAGGUCCCAAAAUAUAUGUUAAGUGGAAAAGGAUGUGGCGUUGCCCAGACAACUAGGAUGUUGGCUUAGAAGCAGCCAUCAUUUAAAGAGUGCGUAAUAGCUCACUAGUCGAGUGACACUGCGCCGAAAAUGUACCGGGGCUAAACAUAUUACCGAAGCUGUGGAUUGUCCUUUGGACAAUGGUAGGAGAGCGUUCUAAGGGCGUCGAAGCAUGAUCGCAAGGACAUGUGGAGCGCUUAGAAGUGAGAAUGCCGGUGUGAGUAGCGAAAGACGGGUGAGAAUCCCGUCCACCGAUUGACUAAGGUUUCCAGAGGAAGGCUCGUCCGCUCUGGGUUAGUCGGGUCCUAAGCUGAGGCCGACAGGCGUAGGCGAUGGAUAACAGGUUGAUAUUCCUGUACCACCUAGUAUCGUUUUAAUCGAUGGGGGGACGCAGUAGGAUAGGCGAAGCGUGCUGUUGGAGUGCACGUCCAAGCAGUAAGGCUGAGUGUUAGGCAAAUCCGGCACUCAUAAGGCUGAGCUGUGAUGGGGAGAGGAAAUUGUUUCCUCGAGUCGUUGAUUUCACACUGCCGAGAAAAGCCUCUAGAUAGAUAACAGGUGCCCGUACCGCAAACCGACACAGGUAGUCAAGAUGAGAAUUCUAAGGUGAGCGAGCGAACUCUCGUUAAGGAACUCGGCAAAAUGACCCCGUAACUUCGGGAGAAGGGGUGCUCUUUAGGGUUCACGCCCAGAAGAGCCGCAGUGAAUAGGCCCAAGCGACUGUUUAUCAAAAACACAGGUCUCUGCUAAACCGUAAGGUGAUGUAUAGGGGCUGACGCCUGCCCGGUGCUGGAAGGUUAAGAGGAGUGGUUAGCUUCUGCGAAGCUACGAAUCGAAGCCCCAGUAAACGGCGGCCGUAACUAUAACGGUCCUAAGGUAGCGAAAUUCCUUGUCGGGUAAGUUCCGACCCGCACGAAAGGCGUAACGAUUUGGGCACUGUCUCAACGAGAGACUCGGUGAAAUCAUAGUACCUGUGAAGAUGCAGGUUACCCGCGACAGGACGGAAAGACCCCGUGGAGCUUUACUGUAGCCUGAUAUUGAAAUUCGGCACAGCUUGUACAGGAUAGGUAGGAGCCUUUGAAACGUGAGCGCUAGCUUACGUGGAGGCGUUGGUGGGAUACUACCCUAGCUGUGUUGGCUUUCUAACCCGCACCACUUAUCGUGGUGGGAGACAGUGUCAGGCGGGCAGUUUGACUGGGGCGGUCGCCUCCUAAAAGGUAACGGAGGCGCUCAAAGGUUCCCUCAGAAUGGUUGGAAAUCAUUCAUAGAGUGUAAAGGCAUAAGGGAGCUUGACUGCGAGACCUACAAGUCGAGCAGGGUCGAAAGACGGACUUAGUGAUCCGGUGGUUCCGCAUGGAAGGGCCAUCGCUCAACGGAUAAAAGCUACCCCGGGGAUAACAGGCUUAUCUCCCCCAAGAGUUCACAUCGACGGGGAGGUUUGGCACCUCGAUGUCGGCUCAUCGCAUCCUGGGGCUGUAGUCGGUCCCAAGGGUUGGGCUGUUCGCCCAUUAAAGCGGUACGCGAGCUGGGUUCAGAACGUCGUGAGACAGUUCGGUCCCUAUCCGUCGUGGGCGUAGGAAAUUUGAGAGGAGCUGUCCUUAGUACGAGAGGACCGGGAUGGACAUACCUCUGGUGUACCAGUUGUCGUGCCAACGGCAUAGCUGGGUAGCUAUGUAUGGACGGGAUAAGUGCUGAAAGCAUCUAAGCAUGAAGCCCCCCUCAAGAUGAGAUUUCCCAACUUCGGUUAUAAGAUCCCUCGAAGAUGACGAGGUUAAUAGGUUCGAGGUGGAAGCGUGGUGACACGUGGAGCUGACGAAUACUAAUCGAUCGAAGACUUAAUCAAUUUUUAAA
rnacentral:rRNA from 1 species